GUAGGUGAACCUGCGGAAGGAUCAUUACCGAGUCUGGGGACCGCCUUAUGGACCCCGCCUCUCACACUAUGCGUAUGCAUAUCAUCAUGUAUGCACAAAGGAAAUUGUGUUGAAACAACCAAAAAAAUCCAAUAUUAAAAACUUUCAACAACGGAUCUCUUGGCUCUG
rnacentral:misc_RNA from 1 species